GCAGGGGUAGCCAAGACUGGUCAAAGGCGCCGGACUCAGAAUCCGGUUCCGUAGGGAUACUCGGGUUCGAAUCCCGUCCCCUGCA
rnacentral:tRNA from 1 species